rnacentral:rRNA from 1 species
UACGUAGGGUGCGAGCGUUAAUCGGAAUUACUGGGCGUAAAGCGUGCGCAGGCGGUUUUGUAAGCCAGAUGUGAAAGCCCCGGGCUCAACCUGGGAAUGGCAUUUGGGACUGCAAGGCUUGAGUGCGGCAGAGGAGACUGGAAUUCCUGGUGUAGCAGUGAAAGGCGUAGAUAUCAGGAGGAAUACCGAUGGCGAAGGCAGGUCUCUGGGCUGACACUGACGCUCAUGCACGAAAGCGUGGGGAGCAAACAGG